CAAGCUUCAGGCAGCAGCUGGUAGUCCCUGAGAAAGACAUGAACAAGAAGCCAUUUGAAAGCAUUAUCUUCUAGAAACUAAAUUUCAAAACAAGGAAGAAACCACAGCUCAGAUCAGGGAAGAGAAGGGGGAGACAGAAGAACAGGGAGAGAAAGGCCCAGAAACUCAGGCCAGCCUGUGAGAUAGAGAUGAGGGUUGCUAUCCGGAAAGCAGUCAGAAAUGCUGUCCUGACUCUCCAGAGAGCUUGGUCCUGAGCGCAGGGAGAUAUCUCACAAGAGAAAAACAGAUAUUUGGAGUCUAGUCGUGUAGAGAAGCAUCAAUGCCUUAUGUAGAUCUACAGAAAACAACACGAAGAAUGUCUUCCUUUUAAUUAUUGAGGGUGUAGGGACAUAGGAAUUUUCAUACUCUACUGGUGGGAAUAUUAAACUGGAGAAAUUUCAUAGGUUGGCAACUCGGUAAUGUAUGUUUGAGGCAGAAACGAUGCUCUGCACUCACCAAACUCUGUGUUUUCUUCCUGCACACACAGGGAAACUAUUUCCUGCCUCUGUUGAGUUAGGAGUGGUCAUGUGACUGAGUUUCAGACAACUGGAAAGUGGGCAGAAGAAGUGAUGUGAGUCAAUUUCAAGCCUGGCCCUAAAACCACCUGUGCAAUUCCCCAUUCUCUCUCUCCCUCUGUCUCUCUCUCAUCCUUUCUCCCUCUCUCUCAUUUUCUCCUCCUUUUGCUUAUCAGCUGAAAUCAGAGGAUCCGCUGAAGAACUCCAAGUUGCUGCCAAAUGGAAAGCCAUCAUAUGAAUAAAUUCUGUUUCCAGAGGACUGGGUAGAGCUCCUUCCACCCCCACCAACCAGAUGACCUAUACUGAACUGUAAUAAAAGAGAAAUAAAUCUUUACUGUGUUAAGCCAA